CCUACGGGAGGCAGCAGUGGGGAAUUUUGGACAAUGGGGGCAACCCUGAUCCAGCAAUGCCGCGUGAGUGAAGAAGGCCUUCGGGUUGUAAAGCUCUUUUGUCAGGGAAGAAACAGCAGCUCUAACACAGCUGUGAAUGACGGUACCUGAAGAAUAAGCACCGGCUAACUACGUGCCAGCAGCCGCGGUAAUACGUAGGGUGCAAGCGUUAAUCGGAAUUACUGGGCGUAAAGCGUGCGCAGGCGGUUAUAUAAGACAGGUGUGAAAUCCCCGGGCUUAACCUGGGAAUUGCAUCUGUGACUGUAUAGCUAGAGUGUGUCAGAGGGGGGUAGAAUUCCACGUGUAGCAGUGAAAUGCGUAGAUAUGUGGAGGAAUACCAAUGGCGAAGGCAGCCCCCUGGGAUAACACUGACGCUCAUGCACGAAAGCGUGGGGAGCAAACAGGAUUAGAUACCCUGGUAGUCCACGCCCUAAACGAUGCUGACUAGUUGUUCGGGAUUUUAUCCUGAGUAACGUAGCUAACGCGUGAAGUNAGCCGCCGUGGGAGGUACGGUCGCGAGAGUAAACGUACAAUAGAGUUAGUACGGCGUGAGACGNGCCGACGGACGACGACGAGGGAGGAGG
rnacentral:rRNA from 1 species